rnacentral:rRNA from 1 species
UACAGAGGGUGCAAGUAUUAAUCGGAUUUAUUGGGCGUAAAGAGCGCGCAGGCGGGUUUUUAAGUCAGACGUGAAAUCCCGGGGCUCAACCCCGGAACAGCAUUUGAAACUGAAAAUCUUGAGGGUAGUCGGAGAAAAUGGAAUUCCACGUGUAGCGGUGAAAUGCGUAGAUAUGUGGAAGAACACCGGUGGCGAAGGCGAUUUUCUAGAUUAUUCCUGACGCUGAGGCGCGAAAGUAAGGGGAU